rnacentral:misc_RNA from 1 species
GAAAUGCGAUAAGUAAUGUGAAUUGCAGAAUUCAGUGAAUCAUCGAAUCUCUGAACGCACCUUGCGCUCCUUGGUAUUCCUUGGAGCAUGCCUGUUUGAGUAUCAUGAAAUCUUCAAAGUAAAUCUUUUGUUAACUCAAUUGGUUUCUACUUUGGUAUUGGAGGUCUUUGCAGCUUCACACCUGCUCCUCUUUGUUCAUUAGCUGGAUCUCAGUGUUAUGCUUGGUUCCACUCGGCGUGAUAAGUUAUCUAUCGCUGAGGACACUGUAAAAGGUGGCCAAGGUAAAUGCAGAUGAUACGCUUCUAAUAGUCCAUUGACUUGGACAAUACUUUUAUGAUCUGAUCUCAAAUCAGGUAGGACUACCCGCUGAACUUAAGC